AUACGGGGGGGGCAAGCGUUGUUCGGAAUUACUGGGCGUAAAGGGCGCGUAGGCGGACGAGACAGUCUUUCGUGAAAUCCCACGGCUCAACCGUGGAACUGCGGGAGAUACUACUCGUCUUGAGUUCGGGAGAGGAGUGUGGAAUUCCCAGUGUAGCGGUGAAAUGCGUAGAUAUUGGGAGGAACACCGGUGGCGAAGGCGGCACUCUGGACCGAUACUGACGCUGAGGCGCGAAAGCUAGGGGAGCAAACGGGAUUAGAAACCCCUGUAGUCC
rnacentral:rRNA from 1 species